AGCCCGGAUCUUAGGGUACUACCUGGGGUUGGGGGUGAUUUGUCUCACCAUAGUAGAAAAUCUGGAGGGUGUAGCGUGCUUGGAAGCAGGGGAAGAGGCACCAAAAGAAGAGAUCUGCAAGAAAUACAUCUACCAGCUGGGUGCAGUUGAACAAAAUCAUUACAGGAUUAGCAGUUUUCUGACCCACUUACUAAAAAGAAGCUGAAUCACUGAAUCGAGACCCCAGGGAAAUGCAGAUUUAUACCUUUGAUGUAUUUCUUGAUUUUUCUUAAAUUAAAUUCUAUAAUCAGUU